rnacentral:rRNA from 1 species
UCUCAGUUCGGACUGUAGGCUGCAACUCGCCUACACGAAGUUGGAAUUGCUAGUAAUCGUGGAUCAGCAUGCCACGGUGAAUACGUUCCCAGGUCUUGUACACACCGCCCGUCACACCAUGGGAGCUGGUAACACCCGAAGUCAGUAGUCUAACCGCAAGGAGGACGCUGCCGAAGGUGGGAUUAGCGACUGGGGUGAAGUCGUAACAAGGUAUC